AUUGAACGCUGGCGGCAGGCCUAACACAUGCAAGUCGAACGGUAACAGGAAGCAGCUUGCUGCUUCGCUGACGAGUGGCGGACGGGUGAGUCAUGUCUGGGAAGCUGCCUGAUGGAGGGGGAUAACUACUGGAAACGGUAGCUAAUACCGCAUAAUGUCGCAAGACCAAAGAGGGGGACCUGCGGGCCUCUUGCCAUCGGAUGUGCCCAGAUGGGAUUAGCUUGUUGGUGGGGUAACGGCUCACCAAGGCGGCGAUCCCUAGCUGGUCUGAGAGGAUGAACAGCCACACUGGAACUGAGACACGGUCCAGACUCCUACGGGAGGCAGCAGUGGGGAAUAUUGCACAAUGGGCGCAAGCCUGAUGCAGCCAUGCCGCGUGUAUGAAGAAGGCCUUCGGGUUGUAAAGUACUUUCAGCGGGGAGGAAGGGAGUAAAGUUAAUACCUUUGCUCAUUGACGUUACCCGCAGAAGAAGCACCGGCUAACUCCGUG
rnacentral:rRNA from 1 species